rnacentral:misc_RNA from 1 species
GAACUAGCUAAGCUUUCCACAUGUUUGGUCAGCAACCGCGGAUGACAAUCAGAUGCUAUUAGUAUAACCUGAAGUUGAGUUGAAUGCAUUUUAAGGGAUAGUGAUGAACGGUCAUUAGCAGGAACGGGGGGCACUCUCUCAAGCACCCGCGUUACUUCAUUCACCCCUACUGAAAACUGUUGCUUGAGCCAAAAUUUCUCAGGUAAAGAUAUGUCGGAUUUUCUGGCUGUGGCUAUCUCCCUCUUAAUCGCCGUGAGGUGCCGGUCCAGAAUUUCACCUUCAUAGCAAAUUGUCGGUUGCCGGAAAGAAUGGCGGCUAACGGAGACUUUCUUCUCCUCUCUUCCUGUGACUAUAGUUGUAGAAGCAGCCAUUGGC